rnacentral:rRNA from 1 species
UGGGGAAUCUUGGGCAAUGGGGGAAACCCUGACCCAGCAACGCCGCGUGAAGGAUGAAGUAUUUCGGUAUGUAAACUUCGAAAGAAUAGGAAGAAUAAAUGACGGUACUAUUUAUAAGGUCCGGCUAACUACGUGCCAGCAGCCGCGGUAAUACGUAGGGACCAAGCGUUGUUCGGAUUUACUGGGCGUAAAGGGCGCGUAGGCGGCAUGACAAGUCACUUGUGAAAUCUCUGGGCUUAACCCAGAACGGCCAAGUGAUACUGUCGCGCUAGAGUGCAGAAGGGGCAAUCGGAAUUCUUGGUGUAGCGGUGAAAUGCGUAGAUAUCAAGAGGAACACCUGAGGUGAAGACGGGUUGCUGGGCUGACACUGACGCUGAGGCGCGAAAGCCAGGGGAGCAAACGGGAUUAGAUACCCGUGUAGUCCCUGAGCGGGCUGGCAAGGCGCAU